UACGUAGGGUGCGAGCGUUGUCCGGAAUUAUUGGGCGUAAAGGGCUCGUAGGCGGUUUGUCGCGUCGGGAGUGAAAACACUGGGCUUAACCCAGUGCUUGCUUUCGAUACGGGCAGACUAGAGGUAUGCAGGGGAGAACGGAAUUCCUGGUGUAGCGGUGAAAUGCGCAGAUAUCAGGAGGAACACCGGUGGCGAAGGCGGGUCUCUGGGCAACAACUGACGCUGAGGAGCGAAAGCGUGGGGAGCGAACAGG
rnacentral:rRNA from 1 species